rnacentral:rRNA from 1 species
AGAGUUUGAUCCUGGCUCAGGACGAACGCUGGCGGCGUGCCUAACACAUGCAAGUCGAGCGGGGGCUUCGGUCCUAGCGGCGGACGGGUGAGUAACACGUGGGCAACCUGCCUGUAAGACUGGGGUAACUUCGGGAAACCGGAGCUAAUACCGGAUGACACUUUGGAACUCCUGUUCCUAAGUUGAAAGAUGGCUUCGGC